UCCCUCGUGGCGCAAUUGGCUAGCGCGUUCGACUGUUACCAUUGCUGGUAUCGAGAGGUUGGUGGUUCGAGCCCACCCGAGGGAG